rnacentral:rRNA from 1 species
CUUCUUGAAUGAAUUUGAGGUCGUGCCUGCCCACUGAUUUUUGAAGGGCCGCGGUAUUUUGACCGUGCAAAGGUAGCAUAAUCAUUAGUUUUUUAAUUGAAGGCUGGAAUGAAGGGUUUGAUGAAACAAUUACUGUCUCAUUAAAAUUUAUUGAAUUUUACUUUUGAGUUAAAAGGCUCAAGUAUUAAUAGGGGACGAGAAGACCCUAUAGAUCUUUAUAGAAUAUAUUUUAUUUUUCUUUUAGGUGUAUUAGGUUUAAUAAUUUAUUUUUUAUUUCAUUGGGGUGAUGAGAGAAUAAUUGAACUUCUUUAUAUAUAACUUUGAUUGAUGAGUAUAUGAUUUUUUAUUAUGAAAUAAAGAUUAAGAUACCUUAGGGAUAACAGCGUAAUUUUAUUGGAGAGUUCUUAUCGAUAAUAAAGAUUGCGACCUCGAUGUUGGAUUAAGAAUAUGCUUAGGUGCAGAAUUUUAAGUUAUGGGUCUGUUC